rnacentral:rRNA from 1 species
GUGGGGGAUAACUAGUCGAAAGAUUAGCUAAUACCGCAUACGAUCUACGGAUGAAAGUGGGGGAUCGCAAGACCUCAUGCUCCUGGAGCGGCCGAUAUCUGAUUAGCUAGUUGGUGGGGUAAAAGCCUACCAAGGCGACGAUCAGUAGCUGGUCUGAGAGGACGACCAGCCACACUGGGACUGAGACACGGCCCAGACUCCUACGGGAGGCAGCAGUGGGGAAUUUUGGACAAUGGGGGCAACCCUGAUCCAGCAAUGCCGCGUGAGUGAAGAAGGCCUUCAGGUUGUAAAGCUCUUUUGUCAAGGAAGAAACGGUUUUGGCUAAUAUCCAGAGCUAAUGACGGUACCUGA